AUUUGAUGAUGUGGGCAUUGUAUUUGAAGAUCAUUAAAUCUAUCCCAAGCUUCGUAAAAUUUUUCAUUAGGUUUUGGUCUAAAUGUUUGAAUUCAAUUUCGCAUAUC
rnacentral:snoRNA from 1 species